rnacentral:rRNA from 1 species
UUAUGCCUACGGGAGGCAGCAGUGGGGAAUAUUGGACAAUGGGGGGAACCCUGAUCCAGCGACGCCGCGUGAGUGAAGAAGUAUUCCGGUAUGUAAAGCCUUAUCAGCAGGGAAGAACAAUGACGGUACCUGACUAAGAAGCACCGGCUAAAUACGUGCCAGCAGCCGCGGUAAUACGUAUGGUGCAAGCGUUAUCCGGAUUUACUGGGUGUAAAGGGAGCGCAGGCGGCGCGUUAAGCCUGGUGUGAAAGCCCGCGGCCCAACCGCGGGACUGCAUUGGGAACUGGCGCGCUGGAGUGCCGGAG